CCUACGGGAGGCAGCAGUGAGGAAUAUUGGUCAAUGGACGAGAGUCUGAACCAGCCAAGUAGCGUGAGGGAUGACUGCCCUAUGGGUUGUAAACUUCUUUUAUCUGGGAAUAAAACAGGGUACGCAUACCCUCUUGUAUGUACCAUAUGAAUAAGGAUCGGCUAACUCCGUGCCAGCAGCCGCGGUAAUACGGAGGAUCCGAGCGUUAUCCGGAUUUAUUGGGUUUAAAGGGAGCGUAGGUGGAUUGGUAAGUCAGUUGUGAAAGUUUGCGGCUCAACCGUAAAAUUGCAGUUGAAACUGGCAGUCUUGAGUACAGUAGAGGUGGGCGGAAUUCGUGGUGUAGCGGUGAAAUGCGUAGAUAUCACGAAGAACUCCGAUUGCGAAGGCAGCUUACUGGACUGCAACUGACACUGAUGCUCGAAAGUGUGGGUAUCAAACAGGAUUAGAUACCCUAGUAGUC
rnacentral:rRNA from 1 species